rnacentral:rRNA from 1 species
CACGUAGGGGGCGAGCGUUGUCCGGAAUCAUUGGGCGUAAAGAGCUCGUAGGCGGCUCAGUAAGUCGGGUGUGAAACCCUCAGGCUCAACCUGGGGACGCCACCCGAUACUGCUGUGGCUAGAGUCCAGUAGGGGAGUGUGGAAUUCCCGGUGUAGCGGUGAAAUGCGCAGAUAUCAGGAGGAACACCAAUUGCGAAGGCAGCUCGCUGGGACGUUACUGACGCUGAGACGCGAAAGCGUGGGGAGCAAACAGG